AUUGAACGCUGGCGGAAUGCUUUACACAUGCAAGUCGAACGGCAGCACGGGGGCAGCCGUGGUGGCGAGUGGCGAACGGGUGAGUAAUACAUCGGAACGUGCCCGGUCGUGGGGGAUAACGUAGCGAAAGUUACGCUAAUACCGCAUACGAUCUGAGGAUGAAAGCGGGGGACCUUCGGGCCUCGCGCGAUCGGAGCGGCCGAUGUCAGAUUAGGUAGUUGGUGGGGUAAAGGCCUACCAAGCCGACGAUCUGUAGCUGGUCUGAGAGGACGACCAGCCACACUGGGACUGAGACACGGCCCAGACUCCUACGGGAGGCAGCAGUGGGGAAUUUUGGACAAUGGGCGCAAGCCUGAUCCAGCCAUUCCGCGUGCAGGACGAAGGCCUUCGGGUUGUAAACUGCUUUUGUACGGAACGAAAAGGCUCUGGCUAAUACCUGGGGCUCAUGACGGUACCGUAAGAAUAAGCACCGGCUAACUACGUG
rnacentral:rRNA from 1 species